UAUUUCCUACGGGGGGCAGCAGUGGGGAAUAUUGCACAAUGGGGGAAACCCUGAUGCAGCGACGCCGCGCGAGCGAAGAAGUAUUUCGGUAUGUAAAGCUCUAUCAGCAGGGAAGAAAAUGACGGUACCUGACUAAGAAGCCCCGGCUAAAUACGUGCCAGCAGCCGCGGUAAUACGUAUGGGGCAAGCGUUAUCCGGAUUUAUUGGGCGUAAAGCGAGUGCAGGCGGUUCAAUAAGUCU
rnacentral:rRNA from 1 species